rnacentral:rRNA from 1 species
UCGGGAAUUUUGGGCAAUGGGCGAAAGCCUGACCCAGCAACGCCGCGUGAAGGAUGAAGUAUUUCGGUAUGUAAACUUCGUAAGAAUAGGAAGAAUAAAUGACGGUACUAUUUGUAAGGUCCGGCUAACUACGUGCCAGCAGCCGCGGUAAUACGUAGGGACCAAGCGUUGUUCGGAUUUACUGGGCGUAAAGGGCGCGUAGGCGGUGUGUCAAGUCAGUUGUGAAAUCUCCGAGCUUAACUCGGAACGGUCAACUGAUACUGUCACACUAGAGUACAGAAGGGGCAAUCGGAAUUCUUGGUGUAGCGGUGAAAUGCGUAGAUAUCAAGAGGAACUCCGGUGGCGAAGGCGGCAUACUGGACCACUUCUGACGCUGAGGCGCGAAAGCCAGGGGAGCAAACGGGAUUAGAUACCCAAGUAGUCCCUGAGCGGGCUGGCAAGGCGCAU